CAGUAGCCGCGGGAAUACGAAGGGUGCAAGCGUUACUCGGAAUUACUGGGCGUAAAGCGUGCGUAGGUGGUGGUUUAAGUCCGUUGUGAAAGCCCUGGGCUCAACCUGGGAAUUGCAGUGGAUACUGGGUCACUAGAGUGUGGUAGAGGAUAGUGGAAAUUCCGGUGUAGCAGUGAAAUGCGUAGAGAUCGGAAGGAACAUCUGUGGCGAAGGCGACUAUCUGGGCCAACACUGACACUGAGGCACGAAAGCGUGGGGAGCAAACAGGAUUAGAUACCCGAGUAGUCCCUGUCUCUUAUAC
rnacentral:rRNA from 1 species